UCAAGGUUUGAUUACAGCCUAAAAGCUAGUUGUAUGAUUUAAAUGUAUGUGAAAUUUUUUUAAAUAGAUUUAUGACAGCAUUUAUUUUUAAAUAUUAAGUAAUUUUAGAUUUAGGAAUUUAGUAAAUAUAAACUAAAUUUGUGCCAGCAGUAGCGGUUAAACAAAUUAUAUAUAUUAGUUUUGUCUAAUUUAAUAAGAUUGAGAUAUUUUUAUUUGUAAUAAAAUUUUUAAGGUGAAAUUUAAAAUUUUAUUUAAGUUUGAUUUAAGAUUUUGAGUUAAUAAGUUUUAUAUUAGACUAGGAUUAGAUACCCUAUUAUAAAAAGUGUAAUUUUAAAAUUAAAAUUAUUAAAAAUUAAAUUUCUAAAGUUAAAGAUUUUGGCGGUAUUUUAAUCUUUUCAGAGGAACCUGUUUUUUAAUCGAUGGUCCACGAUGAGUUUGACUUGGAUUUUAAAUUUGUAUAUCGCUGUAGUUAAAUAUUUUUAAAGAGAAUGAAUUUUUAAUGAGUUUUAUUUUAAUUUAUAUCAGGUCAAGGUAUAGUGUAUAUUUAAGUUAAAAUGGGUUACAUUUAAGUUAUUAUUGGGAUUUUAAUUUAAAAUUUUAAUUUAAAUUGGAUUUGUGAGUAAUUUAUUGAAAUUUUUGGUAAAUGAUUUUAGUUCUAAAAUAUGUACAUAUCGCCCGUCGCUUUCGUUUAUAACGAAAUAAGUCGUAACAAAGUAGGUUUAUUGGAAAAUGAGUCUAGAAGUCA
rnacentral:ncRNA from 1 species